rnacentral:snoRNA from 1 species
GGAUCGAUGAUGACUCCCUCAAAAAAAAAACAACAGCCAAACCAACAUUCCUUGGAAAAGCUGAACAAAAUGAGUGAGAACUACACCCGUCGUCGUUCUCAUCGGUAACUGAGGUCC